GGUCUGGUGGCCAAGUGGUAAGGCAACGGUUUGCAAAACCGUUAUUCACCGGUUCGAAUCCGGUCCAGACCU
rnacentral:tRNA from 5 species